rnacentral:rRNA from 1 species
UACAGAGGGUGCGAGCGUUAAUCGGAAUUACUGGGCGUAAAGGGCGCGUAGGCGGUGAGAUAAGUUAGGUGUGAAAUCCCCGGGCUUAACCUGGGAACUGCAUUUAAAACUGUUGAGCUAGAGUAGAAGAGAGGUAAGUGGAAUUUCCGGUGUAGCGGUGAAAUGCGUAGAUAUCGGAAAGAACACCAGUGGCGAAGGCGAACUUGACUGGAUUCAUACUGACGCUGAGGCGCGAAAGCAUGGGGAGCAAACAGG